rnacentral:rRNA from 1 species
GACGAACGCUGGCGGCGUGCUUAACACAUGCAAGUCGAACGGUAAGGCCCUUCGGGGUACACGAGUGGCGAACGGGUGAGUAACAAGUGGGUGAUCUGCCCUGCACUUCGGGAUAAGCCUGGGAAACUGGGUCUUAUACCGGAGAGGACCACUGCCUGAAGGGGUGGUGGUGGAAAGCUGUUGUGGUGUGGGAUGGGCCCGCGGCCUAUCAGAUUGUUGGUGGGGUGAUGGCCUACCAAGGCGACGACGGGUAGCCGGCCUGAGAGGGUGACCGGCCACACUGGGACUGGGAUACGGCCCAGACUCCUACGGGAGGCAGCAGUGGGGAAUAUUGCACAAUGGGCGCAAGCCUGAUGCAGCGACGCCGCGUGAGGGAUGACGGCCUUCGGGUUGUAAACCUCUUUCAGCACCGACGAAGCGCAAGUGACGGUAGGUGCAGAAGAAGGACCGGCCAACUACGUGCCAGCAGCCGCCGUAA